UGAGUGGCUUUCUCCAGCAAAUCCUUUGGGAUAUUCCAUCCUCCUUCCACCUGAACUUCUGACAGCUUCGUCUUAAACUCCUGGAAGUCCUGCAGUGUAAGACCCUGCAGUGCCUGUGAGAGGACACCUAAGGCAUGCUCCUCCUCGGCCAUCGUGGGAUGUCACCUGAGAUACCGACAGUGAGACACCACCACGGCUACACCACAGCAAAAGGGAUUGCAUCCUGCAGCAGCUUCCACCCUUGAGCAAGAUGGACCUCCAAGGGGAUCCCACCACAGACAACAUAGAGAUAAAUGUGGAUGCUGCAAAAGCAGAGCAGGAUGGAGGGAUAAAAACAGUAGGAAAUGGAGAACUGGGCUGGGAGAUGUCAGAGGAUUGUUGGGAUCAGAUGCUUGGGAGGGGAAAGGAGCUAGGAACAAGUUGUUGUCCAAGGGACCAACCUUGAGGGACCACAACCUUGGCCAGGCACUGGUGUCUCCAAAGUGACAACAACCUGAUGGUCUUGGUGGGUUUCUUUUGCUUACAGGACUUUCCUUGGAGGAGCACAACUCACAGAGGACACCAAAGCCUCCACUUUGCAGCUCCACC